rnacentral:rRNA from 1 species
GCAUCGAUGAAGAACGCAGCGAAAUGCGAUAAGUAAUGUGAAUUGCAGAAUUCAGUGAAUCAUCGAAUCUUUGAACGCACAUUGCGCCUGGCAGUAUUCUGCCAGGCAUGCCUGUCCGAGCGUCAUUU